rnacentral:tRNA from 1 species
GGGCCCUUAGCUCAGUUGGUAGAGCGCCUCGCUGGCAGUGAGGAGGUCGGGAGUUCGAGCCUCCCAGGGUCCA